GUGUUUGCUUCAGCAGCACAUAUACUAAAAUUUGAAUGAUACAGAGAUUAGCAUGGCCCCUGCACAAGGAUGAUGUGCAAAUUAUUAAAAUGUUUCAUAUCUUU
ensembl:snRNA U6 U6 spliceosomal RNA